rnacentral:rRNA from 1 species
ACGCAGGGUUAGUCGGUCCCUAAGGCGAGGCUGAAAAGCGUAGUCGAUGGAAAACAGGUUAAUAUUCCUGUACUUCUGGUUAUUGCGAUGGAGGGACGGAGAAGGCUAGGCCAGCUUGGCGUUGGUUGUCCAAGUUUAAGGUGGUAGGCUGGAAUCUUAGGUAAAUCCGGGAUUCUAAGGCCGAGAGCUGAUGACGAGUUACCCUUUGGGUGACGAAGUGGUUGAUGCCAUGCUUCCAAGAAAAGCUUCUAAGCUUCAGGUAACCAGGAACCGUACCCCAAACCGACACAGGUGGUUGGGUAGAGAAUACCAAGGCGCUUGAGAGAACUCGGGUGAAGGAACUAGGCAAAAUGGCACCGUAACUUCGG